rnacentral:rRNA from 1 species
GAGUUUGAUCCUGGCUCAGAGCGAACGCUGGCGGCGUGCUUAACACAUGCAAGUCGAGGGAGAACGAGGGGCUUCGGCUCCUUUAGUAAACCGGCGCACGGGUGAGUAACACGUAGGUAACCUACCUCGAAGACCGGGAUAACCUAUCGAAAGAUGGGCUAAUACCGGAUAUGACCACGGGGGUGACGGCCCCUGGGGUAAAAGAUGGCCUCUGCUUGCAAGCUAUCACUUUGGGAUGGGCCUGCGGGCCAUUAGCUUGUUGGUGAGGUAACGGCUCACCAAGGCAACGAUGGCUAGCUGGUCUGAGAGGAUGAUCAGCCACACUGGGACUGAGACACGGCCCAGACUCCUACGGGAGGCAGCAGUGGGGAAUAUUGCGCAAUGGGGGAAACCCUGACGCAGCGACGCCGCGUGGGUGAUGAAGGCCUUCGGGUCGUAAACUUCUUUUAAGGGGAAAGAAUGACCUUCGGGUUUUGACGGUACCCUUUGAAUAAGCCACGGCUAACUACGUGCCAGCAGCCGCGGUAAUACGUAGGUGGCAAGCGUUGUCCGGAUUUACUGGGCGUAAAGCGAACGCAGGCGGAGUGUUAAGUAAGAAGUGAAAGGUUGGAGCUCAACUCUGACACGGCUUCUUAUACUGGCAUUCUUGAGUCUUGGAGAGGAAAGCGGAACGACACGUGUAGCGGUGAAAUGCGUUGAUAUGUGUCGGAACACCGAUGGCGAAAGCAGCUUUCUGGACAAGUACUGACGCUGAGGUUCGAAAGCCAAGGGAGCGAACAGGAUUAGAUACCCUGGUAGUCUUGGCCAUAAACGAUGUUCACUAGGUGUCGGGGCUUUGCUUCGGUGCCGCAGCUAACGCAUUAAGUGAACCGCCUGGGAACUACGAUCGCAAGAUUAAAACUCAAAGGAAUUGGCGGGGGCCCGCACAAGCGGUGGAGCAUAUGGCUUAAUUCGAUGCAACGCGAAGAACCUUACCAGGGCUUGACAUGCAACUGCACGCUGUAGAGAUACAGUUCUUUCGAAGGUGUUGCACAGGUGGUGCAUGGCUGUCGUCAGCUCGUGUCGUGAGAUGUUGGGUUAAGUCCCGCAACGAGCGCAACCCUCACGGUCUGUUACCAGCGGAUAAUGCCGGGGACUCGGACUGAACUGCCUCUGUAAAGAGGAGGAAGGUGGGGAUGACGUCAAGUCAUCAUGCCCCUUACGCCCUGGGCUGCACAUAUGCUACAAUGGCCGGUACAAAGAGCUGCGAGCACGCGAGUGUCAGCAAAUCUCAAAAAGCCGGUCUCAGUUCGGAUUGGAGUCUGCAACUCGACUCCAUGAAGUCGGAAUCGCUAGUAAACGCCGGUCAGCAAUACGGCGUUGAAUACGUUCCCGGGCCUUGCACACAC